rnacentral:rRNA from 1 species
AUUGAACGCUGGCGGCAUGCUUUACACAUGCAAGUCGAACGGUAACAGGCCUUCGGGUGCUGACGAGUGGCGAACGGGUGAGUAAUGCAUCGGAACGUGCCCAAUCGUGGGGGAUAACGUAGCGAAAGUUACGCUAAUACCGCAUAAGCCCUGAGGGGGAAAGUGGGGGACCGCAAGGCCUCACGCGAAUGGAGCGGCCGAUGUCAGAUUAGCUAGUUGGUGAGGUAACGGCUCACCAAGGCUACGAUGUCUAGGGGGUCUGAGAGGACGAUCCCCCACACUGGUACUGAGACACGGACCAGACUCCUACGGGAGGCAGCAGUAAGGAAUAUUGGACAAUGGCCGCAAGGCUGAUCCAGCCAUGCCGCGUGCAGGAUGAAGGUGCUCUGCAUUGUAAACUGCUUUUGUUCGGGAAUAAACCCUUUCACGUGUGAGAGGUUGAAUGUACCGAAAGAAUAAGGGACGGCUAACUUCGUGCCAGCAGCCGCGGU